GUCUACGGCCAUGCCACCCUGAACAAGCCUGAUGUCUGAUCUCGGUAGCUAAGCAGGGUCAAGCCUAGUUAGUACUUAAAUGGGAGACCACAUAGGAAGACCAGGUGCUGUAGGCA
rnacentral:rRNA from 1 species